GCUGGGCGUGGUGGCGCACACCUGUGAUUCCAGCAGCUCGGGAGGCUGAGGCAGGAGGAUAGCGAGUUCAAAGCCAGCCUUGGCAAUGGCAAGGUGCUAAGCAACUCAGUGAGACCCUGUCUCUA
rnacentral:sRNA from 1 species